UCUAAGUAUCACCUGCCAGACAGGGAAACUGCGUACGGCUCAUUACACCAGCCUUAAUUUACUUGACCUUGACAACCUACUUGGAUAACUGUGGUAAUUCUAGAGCUAAUACAUGCACCAAAGCUCCGAUCCUCGCGGAGAGGAGCGCAUUUGUUCGCCACAAAACCAAGCCUCCAUCUGGGCGUCCAGUGCUGAACCAGAACAACUCAGCUGAUCGCACGGUCUUGUACCGGCGACGUGUCUUUCAAGUGUCUGCCUUAUCAACUUUCGAUGGUAGUGUACCUGACUACCAUGGUUGUGACGGGUAACGGAGGAUAAGGGUUCGACUCCGGAGAAGGGGCCUGAGAAAUGGCCACUACGUCUAAGGAUGGCAGCAGGCGCGCAAAUUACCCACUCUCAACGCGAGGAGGUACUGACGAGAAAUAACGAGACCGUUCUCAUACGAGGCCGGUUAUUGGAAUGGGUACAAUUUAAA
rnacentral:rRNA from 1 species